UUAAAUGCAUAAACGCGCUUUUCUAUGGUAAAAUUGGCAAAACUAAAUAUCAAUUGUAUUUGCGUAUAUGCCGCCAUUAUAUUGACUUUUUCAUUGAAAAUAGUGAAUCGCAUUGUUGAGUUCUUGUGUACAUUUAUAUGCUUUAAAAAGGCGUGUAUUUUUACAUUUUUGACAAAAUAAAUUUACUGUGAAUCAUAGAAUUUCGAGUUUUCAUCAGUUGUGUCGUGUAGUUUUGUGAAUAAAAUUUUAGUGACUUAAAUUCAAUAGGUAGAAUCUAUUGCAUCCAUACCUAACUGAAAAAAAUAUUAAACUAUAAAACAAUAUGGAAAAUGGUUCCAAUAAUUCAGGACCACCAAUGAGAGGUGGAUUUCGUGGUCGUGGGGGUAUGCCGCGUGGAAGUUUCGAUGGUCGUGGCAGAGGCCGUGGAAUGGGCAGAGGUGGUGGACCGAUGGGUUCGAUGCCUAGAGGAUUCAAUGGGCCACCAGCUUUGAGACGUGGAUUAAUGCGUGGUAUUAUGAGUCGAGGAAUGAAUUUUAGAGGUGGGCCGUCCAGAGGAAAUCCGGGACGUGGUGGAAGACCAAUGAAUUAUAACUAUCAGAACCAAAGCACAAACAUAGGACCACCUUCAAAUGAUGUCGCUCAAAAGCCUGAGGCAUCAUCCAAUACUCCAAAUCCCAGUUCACAACAGACAUCAAAACCAACUCAAAAUAAUUCGCAUUCUUCAGCAAAUGAUCAGAGCAACACAGCACCAAUCAAUCAAUCUGGACCACCUACAUCUAAAGUAAUUGGAAAUUCGAUUCGAGGUGGAAGAGGAGGUGGCAUGUCACAACGUCGUGGAGGAAGCAGCUAUAAUCCCAAUAUAAAUGUCACUGGAAAUGAUAUACAACAAGGAUCUAAUCCCCCGUCAAAACCUUUUUAUCGUGGAGGUUUAUCUCGAGGUCGUGGGGGAUUUCAGCAAGGUCCGACCAGACCGAAUGGUCCAAUGCAUGGAUCUAAUCAUCAGCCAGGAAUGAUGCAGCCUGGAAUUCCACUCAAAAGAGGACCUCCCAUUGGAUUACCAGGACCGAAACGAGGUCGCUAUGAACAAACGCCAUCACAUCGUUUACAAAAAUAUCCAAUGCAAGGGCCACAAGGUCCUACCCCACCGCAAUUACAAGGUCCUCCAAAUCAUCAGCAACCACAAUCGCAGCCAAACUAUAGUAAUAACUACCCCAAUUCGAUACCCCCAAUGCAACAUCAACCAAACAACUACUAUGGACCACAAGGCAAUGGUGGGUAUGAUCAAAUGGGUCAAAUUCAUGACUAUUCGCAAAAUUAUGUACCACCACCAUCUCAAUCUGCUUAUAGUACUAAUGGCUACUCACAAUAUCCUCAACAAAGCUACCCACAAACAAGUGAAUAUGACCAAAGUCAAGGAUAUUCUCAAGAUUAUAAUACAACAUCAUACCAACAAGAUGCACGUUAUCCAACUGGCUAUACACAGUCGGACUACAAUACAACCAACUAUGGAACAUCUACAGAUUAUAAUACUUCGACUUCUGACUACUCACAAGCUGGAACAUAUGAUAACAGAUCAUACAGUGGAUAUGCUACUACAUGAUAACGGAUUUGAAAUUUGUUCAUCCUCAAAGUUUGAUAAAACCUUGUUUGUGUUAUGAUUCCAUACGAAAAGAUGUGGCACAAAUUCCUGUCAAAUUUAAGGCCGGAUUUAUGUGUACUUUUCGGUCACAUUCAGAAGUGAAUCAAAGCACGACUACAAUGACAGCUGGGCAACGCAGCAACUUCAUUAUGGUUGUAACUGUUUAUGUUGAGUGGCACAAAUUUGUACCAUUUUUGAUUUAGGCGAUCGAAAUUUAUGCCAUUUUUUAGUUUCGCUGGCAACCGCACCAUGGCGCUUCUGUCAACGUUGCUUGUCAUCGCCGCGCUUUGAUGUGAAUACAUGGAAAAGAGAAACGACAAUCAUUAGUAGAAUUGUUUUGAUUGUUUUUCCAUUUCAUUGAUUUUAUCGUCGUUGAAAAACGAAUUCCAUAUCCC